GGGUUGUAAAGCUCUUUCGUCGGGGAAGAAAAUGACUGUACCCGAAUAAGAAGGUCCGGCUAACUUCGUGCCAGCAGCCGCGGUAAUACGAAGGGACCUAGCGUAGUUCGGAAUUACUGGGCUUAAAGAGUUCGUAGGUGGUUGAAAAAGUUAGUGGUGAAAUCCCAGAGCUUAACUCUGGAACUGCCAUUAAAACUUUUCAGCUAGAGUAUGAUAGAGGAAAGCAGAAUUUCUAGUGUAGAGGUGAAAUUCGUAGAUAUUAGAAAGAAUACCAAUUGCGAAGGCAGCUUUCUGGAUCAUUACUGACACUGAGGAACGAAAGCAUGGGUAGCGAAGAGGAUUAGAUACCCUCGUAGUCCAUGCCGUAAACGAUGUGUGCUAGACGUUGGAAACUUAGUUUUCAGUGUCGCAGCGAAAGCAUUAAGCACACCGCCUGGGGAGUACGACCGCAAGGUUAAAACUCAAAUGAAUUGACGGGGACCCGCACAAGUAGUGGAGCAUGUGGUUUAAUUCGAAGAUACGCGCAGAACCUUACCAACACUUGACAUGUUCGUCGCGACUCUGAGAGAUCAGAGUUUUCGGUUCGGCCGGACGAAACACAGGUGCUGCAUGGCUGUCGUCAGCUCGUGUCGUGAGAUGUUGGGUUAAGUCCUUUAACGAGCGCAACCCUUGUUGCUAGUUGCUACGCAAGAGCACUCUAAAGAGACUGCCGGUGACAAACCGGAGGAAGGUGGGGAUGACGUCAAGUCCUCAUGGCCCUUAUGGGUAGGGCUUCACACGUCAUACAAUGGUGCAUACAGAGGGUUGCCAACCCGCGAGGGGGAGCUAAUCUCAGAAAAUGCAUCGUAGUCCGGAUCGUAGUCUGCAACUCGACUACGUGAAGCUGGAAUCGCUAGUAAUCGCGGAUCAGAAUGUCGCGGUGAAUACGUUCCCGGGUCUUGUACACACCGCCCGUCAUACCAUGGGAGUGGGUUUUGCCAGAAGCCGUUAGCCUAACCGCAAGGAGGGCGACUGCCACGGCAGGGUUCAUGACUGGGGUAAAGUCGUAACAAGGUAGCCGUA
rnacentral:rRNA from 1 species